rnacentral:rRNA from 1 species
UACGGGGGGGGCAAGCGUUGUUCGGAUUUACUGGGCGUAAAGCGGGUGUAGGCGGGCCGUUAAGUUGGGGGUGAAAUCCCGGAGCUCAACUCCGGAACUGCCUCCAAAACUGGCGGCCUGGAGCAGAGGAGAGGCGAGCGGAAUUCCGAGUGUAGAGGUGAAAUUCGUAGAUAUUCGGAGGAACACCAGUGGCGAAGGCGGCUCGCUGGACUCUUGCUGACGCUGAGACGCGAAAGCGUGGGGAGCAAACAGG